rnacentral:rRNA from 1 species
AUUGAACGCUGGCGGCAGGCCUAACACAUGCAAGUCGAGCGGAUGACAGGAGCUUGCUCCUGAAUUCAGCGGCGGACGGGUGAGUAAUGCCUAGGAAUCUGCCUAUUAGUGGGGGACAACGUUUCGAAAGGAACGCUAAUACCGCAUACGUCCUACGGGAGAAAGCAGGGGACCUUCGGGCCUUGCGCUAAUAGAUGAGCCUAGGUCGGAUUAGCUAGUUGGUGGGGUAAUGGCUCACCAAGGCGACGAUCCGUAACUGGUCUGAGAGGAUGAUCAGUCACACUGGAACUGAGACACGGUCCAGACUCCUACGGGAGGCUG